CAAUAGCGUAUAUUAAAGUUGUUGCGGUUAAAAAGCUCGUAGUUGGAUUUCGGCGGACAGGGGGCGGUUCGAUAUUUGUCGCUACUGCCCCAUUUGUCCGUGUUUUUGGCGGAGGUUUCAGGGUGCUCUUCACCGAGUGUCCUGGAAUGCCGUCAGGUUUACUUUGAAAAAAUUAGAGUGCUCAAAGCAGGCUUUACACGCUUGAAUAUUCGUGCAUGGAAUAAUGGAAUAGGACGUCGUUUCUAUUUUGUUGGUUUUCGGAAAUCGACGUAAUGAUUAACAGGGACAGUCGGGGGCAUUAGUAUUCAGACGACAGAGGUGAAAUUCUUGGACCGUCUGAAGACUAACUACUGCGAAAGCAUUUGCCAAGAAUGUUUUCAUUAA
rnacentral:rRNA from 1 species